CUACGGGCUGCAGCAGUGGGGAAUAUUGGACAAUGGGCGCAAGCCUGAUCCAGCCAUGCCGCGUGAGUGAUGAAGGCCCUAGGGUUGUAAAGCUCUUUCACCGGUGAAGAUAAUGACGGUAACCGGAGAAGAAGCCCCGGCUAACUUCGUGCCAGCAGCCGCGGUAAUACGAAGGGGGCUAGCGUUGUUCGGAUUUACUGGGCGUAAAGCGCACGUAGGCGGACUAUUAAGUCAGGGGUGAAAUCCCGGGGCUCAACCCCGGAACUGCCUUUGAUACUGGUAGUCUUGAGUUCGAGAGAGGUGAGUGGAAUUCCGAGUGUAGAGGUGAAAUUCGUAGAUAUUCGGAGGAACACCAGUGGCGAAGGCGGCUCACUGGCUCGAUACUGACGCUGAGGCGCGAAAGCGUGGGGAGCAAACAGGAUUAGAUACCCCGGUAGUC
rnacentral:rRNA from 1 species